rnacentral:rRNA from 1 species
CCUACGGGGGGCUGCAGUGGGGAAUAUUGCACAAUGGGGGAAACCUGGUGGCACCAAGGCGCGGGAAGGGAGGAGGGUUUUGGGAUGUAAAAUUUUUAUAGCAGGGAAGGAGGAAGUGGCCAUUACUGACUUAAGAGGCCCGGCUAACUACGGUCCAGCCGCCGGGGUAAUACGUAGGGGGCAAGCGUUAUCCGGAAUCACUGGGUGUAAAGGGUGCGUAGGCGGUAGGGCAAGUCAGAUGUGAAAGCCCGGGGCUCAACCCCGGGAUUGCAUUUGAAACUGUCUUACUAGAGUGCAGGAGAGGAAAGCAGAAUUCCUAGUGUAGCGGUGAAAUGCGUAGAUAUUAGGAAGAACACCAGUGGCGAAGGCGGCUUUCUGGACUGUAACUGACGCUGAGGCACGAAAGCGUGGGGAGCGAACAGGAUUAGAUACCCGGGUAGUC